CCUACGGGGGGCUGCAGUCGAGAAUAGUCUACAAUGGACGGAAGUCUGAUAGUGCGACGCCGCGUGAACGAAGAAUCCCUUCGGGGUGUAAAGUUCUUUUAUACGUGAGCAGUGCCCUUUAUAUGAAUAGUAUAGAGGGAGGGAUUUAAGCGUAUGAAUAAGCAACGGCUAACUCCGUGCCAGCAGCCGCGGUAACACGGGGGUUGCAAGCGUUGUCCGGAAUUACUAGGCGUAAAGUGCAGGUAGGCGGAUAGAUAAGUUUAAGGUUAAAGGCUACGGCUUACCCGUAGUAAGGCGUUAGAUACUGUUUAUCUGGAAUGCGGUUGAGGGAGACAGAAUUCCUGGUGUAGCGGUGGAAUGCGCAGAGAUCAGGAGGAAUACCGAAGGCGAAGGCAGUCUUCUAAGCCGAUAUUGACGCUAAACUGCGAAGGUGUGGGGAUCAAACAGGCUUAGAUACCCCAGUAGUC
rnacentral:rRNA from 1 species